GGCCGCAUGCGAAGAUCGAUUUUCGCCUGCGGGCUUCUUAAGUGACUGCAUGCGAAGAUCGAUCUUCACAUGCGGCU
rnacentral:pre_miRNA from 11 species